GAUGAAGAACGCAGCGAAAUGCGAUACGUAAUGUGAAUUGCAAAUUCAGUGAAUCAUCGAGUCUUUGAACGCACAUUGCGCCCCCUGGUAUUCCGGGGGGCAUGCCUGUCCGAGCGUCAUUGCUGCCCUCAAGCACGGCUUGUGUGUUGGGCCCCGUCCUCCGAUCCCCGGGGACGGGCCCGAAAGGCAGCGGCGGCACCGCGUCCGGUCCUCGAGCGUAUGGGGCUUUGUCACCCGCUCUGUAGGCCCGGCCGGCGCUUGCCGAUCAACCCAAAUUUUUAUCCAGGUUGACCUCGGAUCAGGUAGGGAUACCCGCUGAACUUAAGCAUAUCAAUAAGCGGAGGA
rnacentral:misc_RNA from 1 species